rnacentral:rRNA from 1 species
AAAUUUUUAAGGUCGAACAGACCAUCUUAUAUUAGCUCCUGCACAAAUAUAAGUAUUUAAUUCAACAUCGAGGUCACAAACACCUAUUCUGAUAAGAACUCUUAUAGGUAUAAUGCUGUUAUCCCUAGAGGAGCUUUUUUAUUAUUCCGAGAGGCUCAUUUUAUAUAUAUGUAUUUAAAUAAUAAUUUUAAUUUUUACCCCAAAAAAUAGAUUUUUAUUAAAAUAGCUAAUAAUAUUUUAUAUCUAUCAGCUUCAUAGGGUCUUCUCGUCUUAAAAACAUUUUUAAGUAUUUUCACUUAAACUAAAAUUUCGAAAUAUGUCCUAAAAAAGAUAUCUUAGUGGUACCAUUCAUUCUAUUUUCCAAUUAAAAAACUAAUUACUAUGCUACCUUAGCACUAACGCGGCUAUUUAAACUAUUCAUUGAGCAGGCGGUAUAAAUAUUAUUUACAAUGUUUUUGAUAAACAGGCUAAAUAGUUUAUGUAGAGUUAUUUUAUCCUAUUUUUAUUUUUUAUAAUAAAAUUAUUUAAUUAUAUAUUUGAUUACAUACUAACUACUCGUAUAAAUAUUAUAUAUAGAGAACUGUUAUUAGUCUUUAUUAAAUUUAAUUAAACAAAUUAUUUAGAGUUGAAUUAAAUAGAAUUUUAAUAUAUUCUUAUAAACAUUGAUAUUUUUACUAAGCACUAAUAGUAUUUUAAUUUGGAUGAAGCUUUAAAACUUAUCUUUUAAAGAUUUUUAAUUUUCACAAAAUUAGAUUUAAUCUAACUUAAAUUUAACAAGAAUCUAUUUUAUGUUAACAUAUCAUCCCAAAAAUUAUAUUCAUUAAAUUGCUAUAACAAUUUUAAUACUAUAAUUUUUAUUCUAAAUAGUUCGUGAGGCAUAUUAUUAUAUUAAAUCAUUUAUACAUGAUGCAAAAGGUAUGAAUACUUAUAUUUUUCUUAAUAAUUUUUAUUAUUUAACACACGAGUCUACCGCUAAAAYUCUYAACCUGAAUAUAUUAAGAGGAAUGGAACCAGCCUUAUUAAUACCCCAGUCGAAGACAUGGUUAGUUUACAAAACUAAAAUUUUAUUUAAAUUAUAAGGUAAUAAAUCAUCAGAAAUUUUUCUUAUAAAUGUUUUCAAGACACUUUUUAGAAUGAUUA